UUGACAUCCAGCGAACUUUCCAGAGAUGGAUUGGUGCCUUCGGGAACGGACUGAGACAGGUGCUGCAUGGCUGUCGUCAGCUCGUGUUGUGAAAUGUUGGGUUAAGUCCCGNAACGAGCGCAACCCUUAUCCUUUGUUGCCAGCGAUUCGGUCGGGAACUCAAAGGAGACUGCCGGUGAUAAACCGGAGGAAGGUGGGGAUGACGUCAAGUCAUCAUGGCCCUUACGAGUAGGGCUACACACGUGCUACAAUGGCGCAUACAAAGAGAAGCGACCUCGCGAGAGCAAGCGGACCUCAUAAAGUGCGUCGUAGUCCGGAUCGGAGUCUGCAACUCGACUCCGUGAAGUCGGAAUCGCUAGUAAUCGUGGAUCAGAAUGCCACGGUGAAUACGUUCCCGGGCCUUGUACACACCGCCCGUCACACCAUGGGAGUGGGUUGCAAAAGAAGUAGGUAGCUUAACCUUCGGGAGGGCGCUUACCACUUUGUGAUUCAUGACUGGGGUGAAGUCGUAACAAGGUAAGCGUAGCGAG
rnacentral:rRNA from 1 species